rnacentral:rRNA from 1 species
AUUGAACGCUGGCGGAAUGCUUUACACAUGCAAGUCGAACGGCAGCACGGGGCAACCUGGUGGCGAGUGGCGAACGGGUGAGUAAUACAUCGGAACGUGCCCAAUCGGUGGGGGAUAACGUAGCGAAAGUUACGCUAAUACCGCAUACGAUCUACGGAUGAAAGCGGGGGAUCGCAAGACCUCGCGCGAAUGGAGCGGCCGAUGUCAGAUUAGGUAGUUGGUGGGGUAAAGGCUCACCAAGCCAACGAUCUGUAGCUGGUCUGAGAGGACGACCAGCCACACUGGAACUGAGACACGGUCCAGACUCCUACGGGAGGCAGCAGUGGGGAAUUUUGGACAAUGGGCGCAAGCCUGAUCCAGCCAUUCCGCGUGCAGGAUGAAGGCCUUCGGGUUGUAAACUGCUUUUGUACGGAACGAAACGGUCUGCCCUAAUACGGCGGGCUAAUGACGGUACCGUAAGAAUAAGCACCGGCUAACUACGUG